CAGGUAGCCCGGAGUCGCCGGA
rnacentral:misc_RNA from 1 species